rnacentral:tRNA from 1 species
GGGGUUGUAGCUCAGUGGUUGAGCGCUUGCUUCACGGCAUGAGACACUGGGUUCGACCCUCAGCACUACA